rnacentral:rRNA from 1 species
GCAUCGAUGAAGAACGCAGCGAAAUGCGAUAAGUAAUGUGAAUUGCAGAAUUUAGUGAAUCAUCGAAUCUUUGAACGCACAUUGCGCCCGCCAGUAUUCUGGCGGGCAUGCCUGUUCGAGCGUCAUUUCAACCCUCAAGCCCCCUGGGCUUGGUGUUGGAGAUCGGCAAAACGGCCCCCUCGGGGGUUCGCGCCGUCUCCCAAAUCUAGUGGCGGUCUCGCUGUAGCUUCCUCUGCGUAGUAACUCACCUCGCACUGGGACUGGGCGCGGCCACGCCGUUAAACACCCCACUUCUGAAGGUUGACCUCGGAUCAGGUAGGACUACCCGCUGAACUUAAGCAUAUCAAUAAGCGGAGGAA